CGGGUGGGUAGCUCGGGUUGCGAUUGUGACGGGAAGGAUGAGGUUUCGAGCACAGGGGUGCUGUAAAACUAGCACCACGUUCGGGACGUGGGGGUCGAGUGUUCGAAUCACUCCACUCCGACCA
rnacentral:tRNA from 1 species